CCAACGGCCCUCUUUAGGGCCACAAGUAUUCGAUAAAGCUGCCUG
rfam:Steinernema glaseri strain NC unplaced genomic scaffold GLAS_5130, whole genome shotgun sequence.